AUCAUCAUGAGCUGAACCAUUAGUCAGAUUUUGUUUUAAGUCUCUUGUUUUCAUUUUCCUUGAGAAAUUUGAUCUAAAGAGAUUACUCAGAGUAGACAAUUGGCUGCGGUAGUGGCGCAGUACAUGCGAGCAGAUCACCAAGAAAUGCUACAAAGAGUUUGAUUUUGAUAAGGUAUUUUUGAACUAACCCUGGGUGGAGAAAUCGAGACGUUAUACUUAUAUUCAACCAUUGGAAGCCGAAGCAUAUUUCAGGUGACCUACUCAGAGAAUCACUUCUGGGAGAAGCAGAAGCAAGUGGAAAAAGAUUGCAGGUCAAGCGUCCAAUUUGGUGACUUAAUUAUUUCAAAGUUUUUUUCCUUAAUUUUGAAGCUUUUCUGCUUCCAGUAAGCUGCUUAUUAGUUGAUUCUUCACGCAAGUUGAAAAAAUUCAUAUGCCACAAACAGCUGGAAAGUUUGAAGUUGAGUGAUUUGGACGUGUCACAAGUAUAAUUUUUCUCAAUUACAUCUUCGAAACAGUUCGUUGAUCCAACUAUCGAACAACUGAUUUGAUGAUCAGUUGACUUAUACCAGCCUUUUCAUCAUAUUAACAUUUGAUCUGACAUGAAACCCAUAAUCUCGAGCUUCAGGUCUGCGUUAUAUUAAACUUUUUUUUUUUGAAAAACUAAAUAAAUUAAGAGUAAUUUUAUAGAUAAAAAUAACGGGUCGAUUUUACUCAAUCACAUAAUAACAAAUUAGUUUGCUUGUUGUCAAACAUUAAUCUCUAAAUAUUUUCAUUGUCUGGUUUGUAUGUCUUUCUUGAGAUUUCUGCGGUAACCUAGCACAAGGUUCGUCUCAAAUAUUUGAUGUAAUAUCUAGUUUCAUUCAUAUUUUUUACCAUUCUUAUAGUUAUUUAGGAAGUGUGGUCGAGAUUUGAAUUUUAAAAUAGAAAU